rnacentral:rRNA from 1 species
UGGGUGAGGGAACUUAAGAGGUUAAGUUUCUCGUCUUAGGAUCAUCUGGGGUCAUUCGUACUCGUCCGCGAGAGGUGAAAUUUUUGGACCGGACGAAGACGAUCAGCAGCGAAAGCAUCUGUCAGGGAUGUUUUCUGCGACAAAGGACGAAGGUCAGGGUAUCGAAGACGAUCAGAUACCGUCGUAGUCCUGACUGUAAACUAUGCCGACUUGGGUCUUGCAGAGUAAUUACUUUGUGAGACCCACACAGAAAUGAAAGUGUAUGGGUUCUGGGGGUAGUAUGGACACAAGUCUGAAACUUGAAGGAAUUGACGGAAGAGCACCAUAAGACGUGGAGCUUGCGGCUUAAUUUGACUCAACGCGGGAAAACUUACCAGGUCAAGACAUGGGCGUGAUUGACAGGCUAAUGACCUUUCUCGAUUCCUUGGAUGGUGGUGCAUGGUCGCACUUAGUUGGUGCAGUGAUUUGUCAGGUUUAUUCCGGUAACGAACGAGACCUCGGCCUUGUAACUAGCUUCGCUGCUUACAGGGACAAUGACGGCUACGUCAAGGAAGUUCGAGGCAAUUGCAGAUCUGGAAUGCCCUUAGAUGUCCUGGGUCGCACGCGUGCUACAAUGACGCCACGAACGAGUUUACGCGAUGAAAGUCGUGUAUAAUCAUCAAUCGUCGUCUUAAGGGACAGUCUCUUGGAACUGUGGGACUCUAACUAGGAAUGUCUCGUAAGCACAAGUCAACAUCUUGUGUUGAUUACGUCCCUGCUCUUUGUACACACCGCCCGUCGCUCCUACCGAUCGAGUGUUUAGAUGAAAUUGACGGACUCGCGGAAGUUAAUUAAAUCUGAUCACUUAGAGGAAGGAGAAGUCGUAACAAGGUUUCCGUAGGUGAACCUGCAGAAGGACCAUCCAUCGAUUC